rnacentral:rRNA from 1 species
GUAGUUAGCCGGGGCUUCCUCCUUGGGUACCGUCACUUCCUUCGUCCCCAAGGACAGAGGUUUACAAUCCGAAAACCUUCUUCCCUCACGCGGCGUUGCUGGGUCAGGCUUUCGCCCAUUGCCCAAUAUUCCCCACUGCUGCCUCCCGUAGGAGUUUGGACCGUCUCUCAGUUCCAAUGUGGCCGAUCACCCUCUCAGGUCGGCUACCGAUCGUCGUCUUGGUGGGCCGUUACCUCACCAACUAACUAAUCGGACGCGAGCUCACCCCACAGCGGAUUGCUCCUUUGACCUCAAAACCAUGUGGCCCCGUGGUCUUAUGCGGUAUUAGCAACCGUUUCCGGUUGUUAUCCCCCUCUGUGGGACACGAUUUCGCUCACGCGUUACUCACCCGUCCGCCGCUGGGCUCGGACCGAAGUCCUCGCCCCGCUCGACUUGCAUGUGUUAGGCACGCCGCCAGCGUCGUCCUGAGCCAGGAUCAAACUACUCGA